rnacentral:rRNA from 2 species
GGCGGACGGGUGAGUAACACGUGGGCAACCUGCCUAUAAGACUGGGAUAACUUCGGGAAACCGGAGCUAAUACCGGAUACGUUCUUUUCUCGCAUGAGAGAAGAUGGAAAGACGGUUUACGCUGUCACUUAUAGAUGGGCCCGCGGCGCAUUAGCUAGUUGGUGAGGUAAUGGCUCACCAAGGCGACGAUGCGUAGCCGACCUGAGAGGGUGAUCGGCCACACUGGGACUGAGACACGGCCCAGACUCCUACGGGAGGCAGCAGUAGGGAAUCUUCCGCAAUGGACGAAAGUCUGACGGAGCAACGCCGCGUGAACGAAGAAGGCCUUCGGGUCGUAAAGUUCUGUUGUUAGGGAAGAACAAGUACCAGAGUAACUGCUGGUACCUUGACGGUACCUAACCAGAAA